AGAGUUUGAUCCUGGCUCAGAUUGAACGCUGGCGGCAUGCCUUACACAUGCAAGUCGAACGGCAGCGCGGGAGCAAUCCUGGCGGCGAGUGGCGAACGGGUGAGUAAUACAUCGGAACGUGCCCAAUCGUGGGGGAUAACGCAGCGAAAGCUGUGCUAAUACCGCAUAAGAUCUACGGAUGAAAGCAGGGGAUCGCAAGACCUUGCGCGAAUGGAGCGGCCGAUGGCAGAUUAGGUAGUUGGUGAGGUAAAGGCUCACCAAGCCUUCGAUCUGUAGCUGGUCUGAGAGGACGACCAGCCACACUGGGACUGAGACACGGCCCAGACUCCUACGGGAGGCAGCAGUGGGGAAUUUUGGACAAUGGGCGCAAGCCUGAUCCAGCCAUGCCGCGUGCAGGAUGAAGGCCUUCGGGUUGUAAACUGCUUUUGUACGGAACGAACAGGUUCUUUUCUAAUAAAGAGAGCUCAUGACGGGACCGUAAGAAUAAGGCACCGGCUAACUACGUGCCAGCAGCCGCGGUA
rnacentral:rRNA from 1 species